UAUAUUUUUAAAUACAUAAUCCAUCCUGUGAUCCCACACAAUAAAAACAUUUUUACCCAACAGUCUUUAUUCAUUCUGUCCCUUCAUUCAGACAAAAAAAACAAAACAAACAGAAAAACAAACAUGGCUGUUGUGUUGCAGCAUGUUGUCGUCACACUGUCACUACUGUAGAGGUAGACAAGCUGCUGCCGCUGCUCUGUCCUCCAGCUGCUAACAAAGAACUGAGACAAAAGGUGCAGGGUCCUGCUCAGAUGUUAUGUAUGUCAGGUGUGAUGUCAAAGUUCGGAUCUUCUCCCAGAGUUUGAGGCUUCUGCUCAGUGUCGUAGCUGUUCCCAGGACUUCACUCUUCUGGACGGAGAUCUCAGAUGUUGCUCCUGGAAUCUGCCGGAGCCCCUCUCCCAGUUUCAGGGUCACAGCUCCCAGUGCUCCUAUUACCACUGAAACCUCCAUUCUCCGUAUCUUCUCCAGCUCUUCUUUCAGCCCCUUGAUCCUCCGGAGGAGCGACGUGUGAAAUACACACACCCCUGCAGACACACACAAACUGUGUUGACAGUGUGUCCUGUGGGUGCCAGGUAGCAGCCGGGGUUUAUCAUGCUGCUUGGACAUAUGGCUGCUGCGGCAAAUCUGAUUAAUAUGGGAAGGCCAGGAGUCCAGCGUACAGCAGAGGACAGACUGCAACAGGACAUCCCCACUGGUCCGGCCUCCCCCGCACACCGUGCCAGGCCUCCAUCCAGCGCGGCUAAAAACAGACCAGUCGUCAGGGAUUCAGAUGGUCUGAGCGGCGGGUGAGCGGGAGGAGCUGAGGGGUGCUGGACGGAUUUAGAAAAGCAUUUUUUUUUUUUUUUUUUGGAUGCAUUAAAAUUAAUGUAUCACCAUUUC